GGUUAAGCGACUAAGCCGUACAUGCGGAUGCCCCGGGCAGUCAGAGGCGAUGAAGGCGUGCUAAUUCAGCAUAGCGCCGGUAAGGUGAUAUGAACCGGUUAUAACCGGCGAUACCCGAAUGGGGAAACCCAGUGUGAUUCGUCACACUAUCAUUAACCCGAAUCCAUAGGUUAAUGAGGCGAACCGGGGAACUGGAAACAUCUAAGUACCCCGAGUGAAAGAAAUCAACCGAGAUUCCCCAGAAGCGCGAGCGAACGGGGAGGAAGCCCAGAGCCCUGAACUGGGGCAUGUGUGUUAGUGCGGAAGCGCCCGAAAGGCGCGCGAUACAGGUGACAGCCCCGUACAAUAAAAGCGCAUGCUGCAGAGCUCGAUGAGCAGGGCGUGACACGUGGUAUCCUGUCCGAAUAUGGGGACCAUCCUCCAAGGCUAAAUAAUUCUUACUGACCGAUAGUGAACCAGUACCGUGAGGAAAGCGCUAAAGAACCCCGGCGAGGGAGUGAAAAAGAACCUGAAACCGCGGGUACGUACAAGCAGUGGGAUUCUGACCACCAAAGCGCGUUUCGCUUUGUGGUGCGCACAAAGAAGCGUAACGACAGCACUGAAUAUUGUUAACGGAGCGCAAGCGACGUUCGUAACAUACAAAGUCAAGCAGUGGAGCGCUUUUAAAGUGGGGUGACUGCGUACCUUUUGUAUACCGUCAGCGAUCAUAUUCUGCAGCAAGGUUAACCGAACAGGUUUCGAGGGGAAACCGAGUUCCAUCAAGCGUUGUUGCAGGGUAUAGACCCGAAACUCGGUGAUUCAGCCAUGGGCAGGUUGAAGGUUGGGUAACACUAACUGGAGUGACCGAACCGACUACGUUAAAAAUUAGUGGAUGACCCGUGGCUGGGGUGAAAGGCCAAUCAAACCGUAUGAUAGCUGGUUCUCCCGAAAGCUAUUUAGGUAGCGCCCGUGAAUUAUCUCCGUAGAAAGCACUGUUUCGGCUAGGGCCAUCCCGGCUUUUUACCAACCCGAUGCAAAAUCCGGUGAAUACCGGAGAAUGUUAUCACGGGAGACACACGGCGGGUGCUAACGUCCGUCGAAGAGGAAAACAAACCUAUGACCGCCAGCUAAGGCGUCCCAAAGUCAUCAUGGUUAAGGGAACGAUGUGUGCCGCCCAGACAGCCGAUGUCGGGCUUGUGCUGUUUCAUCAUUUAAAGAAAGCUGCACAGUCUACCGGUCGAGUCGGCCUGGCGCGGAAGAUGUAACGGGGCUGUCCAUGCACCGAAGUUGCGGGCGCAGCGACGCCAUGCCGCUGCAGGGGAGCUGCCCUGUGUGCUCUCCGCCGUGAAGGUGGCCUGUGAGGGUUGCUGGAGGUAUCAGAAGUGCGAAUGCUGACAUAAGUAACGAUAAAGGGGCGAAAAGCCUGCCUGCCGGACCAAGGGUUCCUGUCCAACGUUAAUCGGGGCAGGGGUAUGGAAUGACCCCAAGGCGAGUCGAAAGGCGUAUCGAUGCAAAACGGGUUAAUAUUCCCGUACUUGGUGUUACCGCGGCGUGGACGGAGAAGGCCAUGUUGGCCGGGCGACGGUUGUCCCGGUUUGGGCGUGCAGGUGUGUUCCGUAAAUCCGGUUCACUUUAACACUGAGGCGUGACGACGAGGCACUACGGUGCUUAGAAGCAACAAAUGCCCUGCUUCAAAGAAAAGCUUCCUAAGCAUCAGGUAACAUCAAAUCGUACCCCAAAACCGACACAGGUCGCGUGGUGAGGUCACCGUAAGGCGCUUGAGAGAACUUCCGGGUGAAGGAACUAGGCAAAAUGGGUGCCGCAACUUCGUGAGCAUACCGGACAUCGUGCAGGUGGAAGCGGGAUUUACCAUGGAGCUGAAGUCAGUCGAAGAUACCAGCUGGCUGCAACUGUUUAUUAAAACACAGCACUGUGCAAACACGAAAGUGGGACGCAUACGGUGUGACGCGCCCGGUGCCGGAAGGUUAAUUGAUGGGGUCAGCGCAAGCGAAGUUCUGGAUCGAAGCCCUGGCAAACGGCGGCCGUAACCCGCACCCGUCCUAAGGUGCAGCGAAAUUCCUGUCGGGUAAGUUCCGACCUGCACGAAUGGCGUACGAUGGCCGCCGUUCCACCUCGAGACUCAGCGAAAUUGAACUCGCUGUGAAGAUGCAGUGUACCGCGGCAAGACGGAAAAGACCCCGUGAACCUUUACUAUAGCUUCUGACACUGAACAUUGAGCCUGGAUGCAGGCAUAGGUGGAGGCUUUGAAGCGUGGACGCCAGUCUGCGGAGCCGACCUGAAAUACCACCCUACCGUUUGAUGUUCUUAACGUGGACCCGUAAUCCGGGCUGCGGACAGUGUCUGGUGGGUAAGAAGCUUCUGACUGGGGCGGCCCUCCCAAAGAGCAACGGAGGAGCACGAAGGUUGGCUAACUUCGCCCGACAUCAGGAUAAGUUGCGCAAUGGCAAAGCCGCUUCGACGGCGAGCGUGACGGCGCGCAGGUGCGAAAGCAGGUCAUAGUGAUCCUGCGUUCUGAAACGAAGCGCCAUCGCUCAACGGAUAAAAGGUACUCCGGGGAUAACAGGCCGAUACCGCCUUACAGUUCAUAUCGACGGCGGUGUUCGCACCCUCGAUGUCGGCCUUCAUCACAUCCUCGCCAGCUGAAGUAGGUCCCGGCGGCGCGCUGUUCGCCAUUUAAAGCGGUACGCGAGCUGGGUUUAGAACGCGUGAGACAGUUCGGUCUUAUCUGCCGGGCGCUGGAGAACUGAGGGGCUGCUCCCAGUACGAGAUGACCGAGUGGACGCAUCACUGGUGUGCCCGUUGUCAUGCCAAUGGCACUGCCCGGUGAAGCAAAUGCGGAAGAGAUAUGCGUUGCUUAUCUGGGCUAACGAAAUCUAACCCCGGUAUAUUCCUGAGACUUGUAGAGCUCCUGAAGGAAAUCGCUGAAAUACUACCACUUUUUUUCGAUAGCUCGGGUGUAAGCAGCGAUGCGCUGAAAUACCCGGCGCACCAAUGAAAUCGUGAGGCUUAACUCA
rnacentral:rRNA from 1 species